rnacentral:rRNA from 1 species
UACGAAGGGGGCGAGCGUUGUUCGGAUUUACUGGGCGUAAAGAGCGCGCAGGCGGUCGUUCAAGUCGAGUGUGAAAGCCCCCGGCUCAACUGGGGAGGGUCAUUCGAUACUGAUCGACUGGAAGGCAGGAGAGGGAAGCGGAAUUCCCGGUGUAGUGGUGAAAUGCGUAGAUAUCGGGAGGAACACCAGUGGCGAAGGCGGCUUCCUGGCCUGUUCUUGACGCUGAGGCGCGAAAGCUAGGGGAGCAAACGGG